UCUUCCGCAAUGGACGAAAGUCUGACGGAGCAACGCCGCGUGAGUGAUGAAGGCUUUCGGGUCGUAAAACUCUGUUGUUAGGGAAGAACAAGUGCUAGUGGAAUAAGCUGGCACCUUGACGGUACCUAACCAGAAAGCCACGGCUAACUACGUGCCAGCAGCCGCGGUAAUACGUAGGUGGCAAGCGUUAUCCGGAAUUAUUGGGCGUAAAGGGCGCGCAGGCGGGAUAAAAAGUCAGUGGUGAAAUCCUACAGCUUAACCGUAGAACUGCCUUUUCUAUGUUGAUUUUUGAGUUCGGGAGAGNGAGACGGAAUUCCAGGUGUAGUGGUGAAAUACGUAGAUAUCUGGGAGAAC
rnacentral:rRNA from 1 species